UUUCAAUGCACGCAAGUGUGAGAAGGGAAUUCCGAGUGCUUAAGUUUUACUUAGGCUUUUGCUAAGUGUAAAAAGCUUGGCGAAUAAGGGGUGGGUAAGACUGGUGCCAGCCGCCGCGGUAACACCAGCGCCUCGAGUGGGGAUCGCGAUUAUUGGGCCUAAAGCGUCCGUAGCAGGCUUUGUAGAUCCUUUGUGAAAUCGACAGGCUUAACCUGUCGGCGGGCAGAGGAGACCGCAGAGCUUGAGACCGGGAGAGGUCAGAAGUAUUCCUAGGGUACCGGUAAAAUGGGUUAAUCCUGGGAGGACUACCAAUGGCGAAGGCAUCUGACCAGAACGGUUCUGACUGUGAGGGACGAAAGCUAGGGGAGCAAAACGG
rnacentral:rRNA from 1 species